CCCCCAAAAAAUCAGAUAUGUGUGGCUAUGAAACCAAGAGCCCUUAAAGCUAUGGGCCAAGACUGAUAUUUUCCAUAGAUGCUAUAUGCACUUAAUAGCUAUAUCCUCUGAAGAGAUAGAUUU
rnacentral:snoRNA from 1 species